GUUUCAAAUUAAACAAAAAUUUCAAGCUUGAGGGCUUGAAAAUUUAAGUUCAAAUACUACAUCAUGAAAAAUAGAAAAGUUUAUGGGCUAAUGUAAAUCCACUACAUGAGCCCUUGUCUUGAGCAAUUUUUAAAUCAACAAACAAAGAAGUUCCAAGAAAAUCUUUAAAAUAACAUAUUUUGAAACUUAGAGGAAUCUGAUUUUGAUUUCAUCAAAGACAAGAGUUCAUGAAGAAG
rnacentral:misc_RNA from 1 species